CACAGACACAUUCAGGGGACACCUUAGACUUAUAUUACAUCUUGUAAAAAAAAUGUUCGAUGGCACCUUUAACCCAACCGCUGGGUUCAGACAACCAAAUUGCUGGGUUUGUCCAUUUUAAACCCAACUUGGGAUUUUAUUAACCCAGAAUUUUUUAGAGUGUACUUUGUUCACUGAAAGGUUCUUUGGGGAGCCCAAAAUGGUUCUUCUAUGGCAUCACUGUGAAAUCCAUCUUUUGGAACCUUUAUAGUGUAUGUGCACAUUGUAGUGGUAAUCACUGGUUUUAUAUAGAAACAAUGACUCUUUUUAGUCAAAGCGAGUAAAUUCUCCAGAGAGGGUUUUUGUGGGCCCAUGGUCUUGCGCUGAGGGAGAGUGCCGCUGGUGUGUAGGCUGAGAGGUUGUAGGUUGGAACCUUAUGACGCAUGGCUCAGUUUCUUUUGCUUGGCCGGGUGUCAGAAUGAUUACCAAUAACACAAAGGCUUUCCCUCCAAGAACUGCUGUUGUUUCAGCUGUUGACAGAGAGGAAAAAAGAGGCAGGUUCCUCUACGGGUUGUUUUCUCAACCAGCUGCGUCCUUGUGGACGUGUUUGAUGAUACCCCUGAAGCAUUACUUACAAGCGGCCCUGCUCAGAGUCACCUGACCCUUUUAAAACAGACCAAUUAUAGCGCAUUAAUGGUGGUGCCAUUUUAGAAAGAUCUGGAGCAUAAUCGCCACAUCUAAAGGGGGAAGAAAGUCACACCGCUUUUGGAACAACAUUAAGUGUAACAAGGGUCAAAGGUCAUGAGCAAGAGAGUGGGAAGGUAUUUUUGUGGUAACCGUAAACCACAUGGUGAAGCUGUACCCAAACAUCAGCUGUCUGUGACAUUAGAGGACCCCAGGUAUGACCAUCUGACACCAGCACACAACCAUGGACUGCCACAGUACUCUCGGGUUUCUGGGAAGCAGCUUUGGCUGCGGGAGAAGCUUCCAGCCGAUCACAUGACUGUGCUGUGGAGGGAUCUCCCGAUGAUCAUGUGACCUUAGUGCUGAUUCACGGUGCCAUCGUUUCACUCUGUUGAGGAGCAAAAUCAGGGAAAGACAAAGGAACUGGAUAGAGGGAUUUUUCUGAAAUUAAAUGGCACACAGCAUUCUCUCUUUCUGUUCACCAACCUCCCUUAUAUUUUUACCUUUGGGAAUUACACUUGGCUGGUCUGCACGUUAAAUAAUUGAGAUAUCUUGGUGUGUGUGUGUGUGUGUGUGUGUACAUGAAGGAGUCAAAGUGAGGGGCAGACAGAGCACUGCUUGUGUGGGUGUACUGAACGCGAGGGGCUCGGCUCGCUGAACAGGGGGCUUUUCUCUUGUACUUUACACCUUUGCACUUAUAAACGGGGCAGACGUUAAAAAAUCCCUCUCAUGUACAAUAAACCAACUGUAGGCUGUUCUGGUUAAAAGUUGUUUUUGAUAUUCGCAGAAUAUUAUGCUUACUGUACUGUAAGAGGGUGAUUCCUCAGAUGAUACAAUGACAAAUGAAACUUCGCCUAAUUAUGUGUCAUUAAUACAUUUAUCACUUCCAGGAAUAAUUUUUAGACCUGGAAGAGAUGUGCUGCUAUUUUUAAUAUCUGUGAUAAGCAAAUAUAAAAUCGUUUCCAAAAAUUGAUGGUACAGUAAGUAUUGGGGGCAGUGACCCUUGGUAUGUAACAAAAAAUGAAUACAUUUGUCAACAACAUAAUACUAAACGUAUUAAAAUGCACAAGUAGAAUUUAAUAUAAUAAUAUAAUAUAUAAUAUAAUAUAAUUUUUUUACAUAUAUUAUAUCUUUUAAAACUGUUUGCACAUAAUACCACAUUAAUUGAACAUUAAAUUCUUAUGGAAAAUGUGCAAAGUAAAACUUUUAAGAUUUUUUCCUGAUUUACUUUAUAAUCCAGAAAUUCUUAAAAAUUAGGAAAUAAUUAAAUUAAAUUAAAUAAUUCUUUUAAUUCUUAGGAUCAUUGAAGUUUUAUAAUCUUUUAUAAUAUUUUAAAACUAAGGAUUUUUCAUUUUUUUUUAUAUAUAUAUUGUUUUUAUUUUUAAGUGGUUGUUCAGUAAGGAAAAGGUGCUUUUUGUGUGCUGUGAAGUAAACAGUACAGUAAAAUUGUCCAUCAAAUCUGGAUCAACAUUUAUCAACAUAAUCUGGAUUCAGGAUUCCUCUUUCGCUUUCUUUUUCUAAAACUUUUUCUUUCUCUUUCUGUUGUUUUCUCAAUAUGAAACCACACCGGCAGAACGUGUUGCUUUUUUUGUAUACAGUAUGGAAAGUUUCUACUUCUCAUAACUGAACGUAUUGCACUCACAUUCACACUAUACAGUCUAGUAGUCAGAUUCCGACAAACAAUGAUAUUAUCAUUCAAUAUAUAAACAGUAUGAAGGCAAAUGUAAGCAAUAAAAAGCUAUCUGUGUUUUCAGCACAUCCUUUCUAGAUAAGGCACUCUCUCUCUCUGUAUGUGUGUAGGGGGGUUUAUGUGUCAGAGAUAAAGAGGGAAGUCCCUGUCUCUCAGUAGUAUGUAAAUCCUGUGUUGGGGGGUGCCGGCGAAGUCCAGAGUAAAGCAAAACACCUCAUGGAGACAGUGGAGCCUGGCACUCAACUCACCCCUGAGACUUUUCAUAUACUCCCACAUACUAGUGUACAAGAGAGAUGGUCAAAAAUCCUCUCUGUGUGCCAACAUCAACUACAGCAGCUUGAGAAAAUUAGAGAGGGUUGAAAAUGAAGAGAAAAACAAUGGGAGCAAAAAUAUUUACCUCCAGACCACUGAAAGGAAACUCAAGUGUGAAUUCAGUUGUAAACAGUAGCAUUACUUUUGUGUGUAUUUCAGUGCAAAAACUUCACUAACCACUCAUAAUUCAGUUAAAUCAGGUGCUAAAAUGCUAAACACUCGGGUACAAAGACAACACAAACAGCGAGUGCAUAUAAACGAUGCUAUCAACAGGCACAGUUCAUUCUCAGUGUUGAACUUGAAUGUAGAAUUCAUAUUGAAGUGCCCCUAUUGCAUUUUUUCUAAUAUUACCUUUCAUGUAGUGUGUAAUAAAGCUGUUUGUGAAUGUCUUUAAAAGAUUAAAAGUGCACAAUUAAUAAAGUCAUUGUCUCCUAUAAGAAAGAAUCGAUUCUGAACUGCUGAAAUGAUUGGUCCAUCUCACUUCCUGUUACAUACCUACAUAACAAUGUAACAAAUUUGCAUAAUACCAGCUUAUGGUCUUCAAUGGCUGUCCGUGAACGAUGUCUACUUUGACCCUCAAACAGUGUAGUUGCAGCUGAGGCCUGGGAGAGUUUGGUUUGUGUGGUCAACAUGUCAAGAAGACACUGUUUGCAGCACUGCGAAUUCACUUUGAAGCACACUGUAAAAAAAAUCCCAGUAAAAUUUACAGUAAAAAACCGGCAGCUGUGGUUACCAGAACGUAAAAUAGCAACGUAAAAAAAAAUCUGU